AUGCUGCCUUAUCAUCAAAAUUUCCAAACUAUAUACUGUUCAAUAUCCCUAGCAGAAAAAAUCAACAUUGCACUAUGUUGCAUGAUCUUCAUAAUUUACAACAAAGCCUCCAGACAAUCCACCAAUCCAACAAGGCAACAAGAUGACACAAAGAAGGUGAUUGACAGCAGAACCCAAAUAGUGAUACAGAUGUAUCACAUACCGUACAUAUAUGAGAAACAUAGUUGUUAG